rnacentral:rRNA from 1 species
GCCAGACUCCUACGGGAGGCAGCAGUGGGGAAUAUUGGGCAAUGGGCGGAAGCCUGACCCAGCAACGCCGCGUGAAGGAAGAAGGCUUUCGGGUUGUAAACUUCUUUUCUCAGGGACGAAGAAAGUGACGGUACCUGAGGAAUAAGCCACGGCUAACUACGUGCCAGCAGCCGCGGUAAUACGUAGGGGGCAAGCGUUAUCCGGAUUUACUGGGUGUAAAGGGAGCGUAGACGGCAAUACAAGUCGGAAGUGAAAUACCCGGGCUUAACCUGGGAACUGCUUUGGAAACUGUAUGGCUGGAGUGCUGGAGAGGUAAGCGGAAUUCCUAGUGUAGCGGUGAAAUGCGUAGAUAUUAGGAGGAACGCCAGUGGCGAAGGCGGCUUACUGGACAGUAACUGACGUUGAGGCUCGAAAGCGUGGGGAGCAAACAGGAUUAGAUACCCCUGUAU